CAAGCCUCCUGGCGCUGCUAUUAGCCGGGAUUCAUAGGCUGGCGAUGAUUGAGAUUGUUCCCACACGCAAUUUCUCCUGAUCCACAUGAAGGCUAAACUUCCUUGGACGUCUGAGCCGC
rnacentral:snoRNA from 15 species